rnacentral:rRNA from 1 species
UUUGAAAUCUGGCCCCCCCGGGGGGCCCGAGUUGUAAUUUGCAGAUUGUGCUUUUGGCGAGGCGCCUUCCGAGUUCCCUGGAACGGGACGCCACAGAGGGUGAGAGCCCCGUCUGGUCGGCCGCCGAGCCUCUGUAAAGCACCUUCGACGAGUCGAGUAGUUUGGGAAUGCUGCUCAAAAUGGGAGGUAUAUGUCUUCUAAAGCUAAAUACCGGCCAGAGACCGAUAGCGCACAAGUAGAGUGAUCGAAAGAUGAAAAGCACCUUGAAAAGGGGGUUAAACAGUACGUGAAAUUGUUGAAAGGGAAGCGCUCGCGACCAGACUUGGGCCCGGCGGAUCACUCGGCGUUCUCGCCGGGGCACUCCGCCUCGUCCCAGGCCAGCAUCGGUUCGCGCCGGGGGACAAAGGCGGCGGGAACGUGGCUCCCCCGGGAGUGUUAUAGCCCGCCGCGGAAUGCCCUGGGGCGGACCGAGGACCCGCGCAUCUGCAAGGAUGCUGGCGUAAUGGUCACCAGCGACCCGUCUUGAAACACGGACCAAGGAGUCGUCUUCGUAUGCGAGUGUUCGGGUGUCAAACCCCUACGCGUAAUGAAAGUGAACGCAGGUGAGAGCUUCGGCGCAUCAUCGACCGAUCCUGAUGUUCUCGGAUGGAUUUGAGUAGGAGCAUACGGGGCCGGACCCGAAAGAAGGUGAACUAUGCCUGUGUAGGGUGAAGCCAGAGGAAACUCUGGUGGAGGCUCGCAGCGGUUCUGACGUGCAAAUCGAUCGUCAAACAUGGGCAUGGGGGCGAAAGACUAAUCGAACCUUCUAGUAGCUGGUUUCCGCCGAAGUUUCCCUCAGGAUAGCAGUGUUGAGCUCAGUUUUAUGAGGUAAAGCGAAUGAUUAGGGACUCGGGGGCGCUAUACAGCCUUCAUCCAUUCUCAAACUUUAAAUAUGUAAGAAGCCCUUGUUGCUCAGGUGAACGUGGGCCUUCGAAUGUAUCAACACUAGUGGGCCAUUUUUGGUAAGCAGAACUGGCGAUGCGGGAUGAACCGAACGCGAGGUUAAGGUGCCGGAGUGGACGCUCAUCAGACACCACAAAAGGUGUUAGCACAUCUUGACAGCAGGACGGUGGCCAUGGAAGUCGGAAUCCGCUAAGGACUGUGUAACAACUCACCUGCCGAAUGUGCUAGCCCUGAAAAUGGAUGGCGCUCAAGCGUCCCACCCAUACCUCGCCCUCGGGGCAGAAGCGAAGCCCCGAGGAGUAGGCGGACGUG